rnacentral:rRNA from 1 species
CCCGCGGCAAGACGGAAAGACCCCGUGAACCUUUACUAUAGCUUGACACUGAACAUUGAGCCUUGAUGUGUAGGAUAGGUGGGAGGCUUUGAAGUGUGGACGCCAGUCUGCAUGGAGCCGACCUUGA